rnacentral:misc_RNA from 1 species
UAAAACCCAAAUUUUUAAUUUAAUUUUUAAAAUAGAGAAACAAAGUGUUUAUAAAGACCGGGAAUAAAAAAUAAUUUACCCGAAAACUACUGCUCUUUCGUAUUCUAUUGGUUAUUUGUCUAUUCCCACUGUAUGGCUUCACAAGCAUAUGCACCAAUAUAGAUCCAAUUCAGAAAGCAACAAUUCUCCACUUCACACUGUAUGGCACCACAAGCAUAUGCAACAACACAGAUCCAAUUCAUGGGCAAACGAAUAUGUGCAGAAGCUCUGUUUGCCUCAGCCAUGUUAUAAUGAACCCAUUCCUUUUGUCUCACAGCAUUUCAACUCCCUUGGCCGUAUCAAUUAAUUCAGCACUUAACUUGAAAGCCAUAUCUGG